rnacentral:rRNA from 1 species
CCUACGGGAGGCAGCAGUAGGGAAUCUUGCGCAAUGGGCGAAAGCCUGACGCAGCAACGCCGCGUGGGGGAUGAAGGCUCUCUGGUUGUAAACCCCUUUCAGCAGGGACGAUUAUGACGGUACCUGCAGAAGAAGGACCGGCCAACUACGUGCCAGCAGCCGCGGUAAUACGUAGGGUCCGAGCGUUGUCCGGAUUUAUUGGGCGUAAAGAGCUCGUAGGCGGCUCGGUAAGUCGGAUGUGAAAACUCGGGGCUCAACCCCGAGACGCCAUCCGAUACUGCCGUGGCUUGAGUCUGGUAGGGGAACACGGAAUUCCUGGUGUAGCGGUGAAAUGCGCAGAUAUCAGGAGGAACACCAAUGGCGAAGGCAGUGUUCUGGGCCAGUACUGACGCUGAGGAGCGAAAGCGUGGGUAGCAAACAGGAUUAGAUACCCUGGUAGUCCACGCCGUAAACGUUGGGCACUAGGUGUGGGGACCUAUCGACGGUUUCCGUGCCGCAGCUAACGCAUUAAGUGCCCCGCCUGGGGAGUACGGCCGCAAGGCUAAAACUCAAAGGAAUUGA